AACAUGUCUCUAUGAAAGUUAAUAUAAAGUCUAGCCUGCCCACUGAGUUUUUAAAGGGCUGCGGUAAUUUGACCGUGCAAAGGUAGCAUAAUCAGUAGUCUUUUAAUUGAAGGCUGGAAUGAACGGUUGGAUGCGAGAGAAGCUGUCUCUUACAUAGUUCAGAAUUUGACUUUUAAGUGAAAAGGCUUAAAUAGAAUAGUGGGACGAUAAGACCCUAUAAAACUUUAUACGAGUUAUGGUUGUUUAUUAGAAUUUUAACUAAAAUUUGAAGGGCUGUGUUCGUAUUUUGUUGGGGAGACAUUGAUAUAAUUUGUAACUGUCUAAUUAAAGGGUAUAGUAAUUAUUAGAAUUUGAUCCUCCUGUGGGGAUAGAAAGAAUAAGUUACUUUAGGGAUAACAGCGUGAUUUUUUCUGAGAGUCCUUAUCGAAGAAGUUAGUUGCGACCUCGAUGUUGAAUUAAAAUUUCUAGUAGGUGUAGCCGUUUACUAAGUAGGUCUGUUCGACCUUUAAAAUUUUACAU
rnacentral:rRNA from 1 species